CCGAAUUUUGUCAAAAUCACGACGAUGUAAAAAGUCGAAGAUAGAACGAUACGACGGACCAAUCUUCGGCUUUGUGUCCGAUUAUCGUGCGUAACAGACCCUCUAGACUCUUCACGAUCGACGUACGAUACGCGUCGUUUAGCCGAAAACGCUCAAAUAUCUGGAAAAAUACGAACGACACGGACAAAUUUUUCCGAUAGAUAGCCCCGUAUGGUAUUUAUUGUCUGUUUGACCAGGCGAUGCCCUUGACCUUGAUCCUAGGCGAAAGGUAAAGGCGACUAUCGUUAGGAUUUUUAAACGGAUAUCACGGUUUCCGAACGUUAUCAAAAUACAACAAACUCUUAUCUCGCGCGUGCCGCCUGCAUCAAGGUGACCCGAUCUACACCACGCGUUGCUGUUAUUGCUUUCCAACAUUCCAAAAACGAUCGGUCCACCGAUUCGGCAGAGUGGCUUUCUUUCGUUCGUUUCUGUUACAUCGCUCGGCUUUUUUUCCUACUGGUUGCUCCAAGUAGAGCGAUCCUACUCUCGUGCAUGAUUUUACGCGUACGCGUACGUACAUCUCGAUACUUACGACGUCCAUAUUUUUGAAGAAGGACGCUCGACCAGGACGCGUUGCAACGUCUCCGUUUCGCUCGUACCGCACAGUUUACAUCGUCGUUGGUAAAACACCAAAUACCCUUGACGCUUAUCGUCCAUGCAACUUUACGCGAUAGUCUUAAUCGGGCCAGGGUUCUUUCGUAGGUAAGAGGUACACCGGAGCCCAAGUAUCUCGUUAUAUGGAUAUCGUUGUUCGAGUUCGUAACCUGCCCUUAUCCCGUUUCACGCUUCGUUCGUUGUGUAUUUUAAUUGCGUAUUUCGUCGAUCGCGGCCGCUAACGACCGUAAGAGAUAGUUGACGCGACCUUGAAUAAAAAAAUAAAGAAGCAACAAAGAGGAAAAGAUCGAUCGUUCCUUUAGAUUUCGUGGAUCGGACGUCUGCGUUGCGGAGGAAUGCUAACGGCCGCGUGUACGCACACCUUUUCCGGGACAGCGCGAAGCGGUAAGCCCUUUGGGAAUAAUUCUUCCGCGUACACGAGGCCGUGGAAAACAAAACCCGAUCACGUAGGUGCGCGCAUGGGCGUGAGUAUGCUCGCGACAACGUGUCCCGUUUUUGAAAUCGCCCCUACGUGAUCGAGGUAGAUCCGCUUGAAUUUCUCAGGAGGCAAGCGAUUAGCAAUCGGCCGUACGGAGACUCUGCCAAAGAUUACCAACGAGUUACGGCCCGAUAUUCUUGUCUGUUUUUUAAAUUUUACGUUGGAUUCGGUCACCAACCGAAUGCUAAUUCGCCCCAACUUACAUAACCAACACACGCGUAGCUGCGAAAGCUAAUCAAAUUUCAUGGUUCUACGCAUGGUUCCUCUCCUCCUCCUGCUGUUAUUCUUAUCGAAAGAAUAUACGACGAGUCGGAGCUUGGAACGCGAAAUGAAAAGUCGUUCGAUCGAUUUAGUCGAUUCGUUCGACCUGUGCUUUCAAAUAUCGUUAAAAUAUCCGAGAACGGCCAUUCGGUCCCUCGUCGUUCUACGUUCUAGUAUCGUUUAUAGUAUCGUUAGUUUGUAGCUUAACGUUACGGUUUGUAUUCGUCUCUAUUCGCGAUUGAAUCAUUUAGUCGCUAUUAUAACGUUGGAACGCAGUUAUCGCAUUCGGUACUCGGCAUCGAUAUUUCGUUGUUGAAUCGGAUGAAAGGAGAUGGACAGAGUAAAACGUCGUUGUCCCGCAGGAGUGUAAAUAGGAUAAGAACAUAAAUACGCUGUAUACGCGAUUCUAUAUACGAAUCUGUACGAUUCGUUACCGAGUAAUAGUUUACUCAAGUAUCGAAUAGAAAGAAAGACGGAAAAAGCAAUCAGUUCGUAUUAAAAGUUGCGUAUUACAAACGCGAGGUUUUGCAGUAACGCGGUAUUAAGAUAGGAAAGGUUAUCGUUGUAAUAUUUAUUAUUUAUAUAUAUAUAUAUAUAUAUAAUAUUAAUUAUCGCGAGUCGUUCGCACAAAGUUAUUUACUAUAUGGAAACGUUUAUACUCGCUGGUUCGAUAGAUACGCGAGUAUGUGUAGGUAUGUGUAAACACGGUGUUUGCAGUUAAACGAGAAAGAGGACGAGAGAGGGCAGCACGCGUCCAAUGUUUGCAACGUCUAGUCGAUUCGAACGUUCCGAUGCGUUUAAGGACUGCGAGCUUCGUGCAGUUCAACUUUCGAAGGUAUACGUACAUAACUCUGUGUAUUUAUAUAUGCAUUUAUGUCAGAGAAUUUGAACACGGACGCGUACAAGCAAGCAAAGAGGCAAGGAGCGCACGAACGAGCGAUCCCCGGCUUGGAAUCGCUUGCGCAACGGCUCGAGCUCAUACCGGGUACGAGCGGAUGAACUUUUCCGUAUUGGGAAUGCUUAUGAAAUAAUCUACGAGGAGGAUCGGCCGCUUAAAGGUUCGUUCGCGUCUUUCACCGGCUUACAGGACUCGUAAGAAAAAGAGAAAGGAUGAAAUACUAAGUGGUUAGGUUGCUUCCGAGGACUUGCGCCUUUCGUUUCGUUAUCAUUGCGAAGAAUUAGAACGGGUCGAGAUGGAAGAACUGUACGACACGGAAGUGGCAAGAUGGCGCGUAGGAUUUGAAAAAUUGUUGGCGGGCAAAUAUUGCCGGUGGAAUCGGAGUGGUUGCGGAAUAGGUUAUGUGCGUGGCGCGCGCGAGCUAAGCCAAUCGAGUUGCGCAAAAGAUACGUGGUACGAGUGGACGCGAGAGGAAGACGGUACCGAUAGCUCUAUCGGGACGAAGAGGAUCGCCAGAAGAAAUUCUCAGUGGCGUAACGUCGACCUCCGUGUUCUCUCUACUCCCUCCUGUUCGAGACCGUUUUCCCUUUAUACUCUGGAUGCCGGGGUCCCGAUAUCGCUGCUCCAUCGCGAUGCGCUCGUGUGCCGUCGCCUUGGUCGUCGCUAACCGUUGCCGCCGUGCCGCCGUGCCGCCGUGCCACCGCGAGGAAACGAGACGAGCGGUUAGAAAAGAAAGGAGGGACCGGGACAGGAUGAGAAAGGCGAGGAGAAGAGUUCUCCGAGAGUUCAUCGCUUAUUAUGUAAGCAACCUGCAAACGUAAGUGCACGGGGAUCGCUUCGAUACACGGAUACACGGACACACGGACACACGGACACACGGACACACGGACACACGGAUACACGGAUCUACGCCGCGGUCUGCAUCCGUGUUCUGUUUCCUCGUACGGAGCGCAUCUUCUUUUCUGACUCGACGAAGAAAUAGGAGAAGAGGAAAAAAGGAGCGUGGCUUGGCGGUGGAAGGAUCGUUUUUCGUUUCUUCUGGACAAAGUCGACCACCGUAGGAGACGAACGACUAGGGAGACGAACUGAUGACGGAAGCAGGCGGACAGAAGAGAAGAGAAGAGGAAUGGAGAGGAGAGGAGAGGAGAGGAGAGGAGAGGAGAGGAGAGGAGAGUAAGCACGUAUAUGAACGCCGAGAGGGGCAGGAGGACGAUGGGAAGACACGAAAAGAAUGUAACAAGAGCGACCGAGCGUGGACCACGUCGCAAAUUGUCUGAAUUAAUGCUGCAGUAGGGUCGUUUUAACGUGUCGAGAUAAAACUCGUCGCACGAGCAACGAUUUCCGAUGCCGAUCGCUCGAUCGCCUUCGUUCUACGGCUCGCAAAUGCGAUCCGUCCUCGAAGCGGGCCGUUCGGCAAGUCGUGCUCGCAAACCCCUAAUUUUUCCGCUGUUCCCGACAGUCGGCAAGCUCCGUCGCGACACCGACCGAUGGACAAAACUUCCUCCGUUCGCGUAGAUUGACGCAAACCGAGUUGAAAUGAUCUCAAUUAGAGGUUCGGUGUUAGACCGAGUCUGACAGCGUUCUUUCAGCCGUCGGCUUCCACGUCUUCGCCUUUCAAAAGUUCCCUCGCCGGUUCCGAUCGUCGACUUUUUACUUUAGUUCUGUCGAUGGAUAGAACGUACACUAUGUAAACGGAGAAACAGCACGCUGUACGAACGAUGCAACGCGUAAAAAAUGUUCAGAAAAAUUGGCGUAUCGGCUGGGGUACGCGGAUGCUGCCAACUCGCCGUGCGAAACAGUCGUUAAGCCUGUAUGGACGUACGGUGUCCGAGGCCUGGCCGGAAAAUCAAAUAUCGCGGAAAAACCGAGACGUACGAGGAAUUUCUGCCUUGCCUGGAAUCGACGAUGCUUAGGUGACUAAGUAGGUGGUAAGAAGCAGGCAUUCUUGGAUGCUCGGACCUUGCGAAACGGACGAUCGUACACGCGAAACGUUAGGAAGCAGUUUCUUAUCGAAUAGCUACGAAUAUUUGCCACCAGAGCCGCGUCGAUAGAAGAAGAGGCGAAAAGACUUGCUCCAUCGAUAGAGAUUAGAGUUUCGGGAAACUGCGCGUUCGAAACACCUUGGAAAUCCCGUUUUAAUUUCGGUACUUUGCCCUUUCGUCCCGAGAAUACGUACGUAUCGAGAAUCGAAUCGAAUCUAGCGUCCCUCGUAUUUUUUUUUUUUUUUUUUUUAAACAACAGCUCGAAAAUAAAUAAAUUUCCAGUUACGCUCGGCGAAACGACUGUCGCGAACCAAAGUGCUUUAUAACGAAAUCGAUACUUUUAAUCGAGUUAUGCGUUUAAUUUGCGCUUUGAAAUAUUUGCUUGCUAUUUCUGGCCAAGAAGCUGAAUCCGUUUGAAAAGGGUCAAAGGGAGUUUCAAAGGUAACCUCUGGUAAUUGCGGGCGAACCAGUGCCGAGAAACGGACAAUUAAACGCGAUUAAGCAUUAACCCACUUUCUCGGUUAGCUGUCUCGUAUUUUGGAUCGCUGUGUUCUAUAAAAAAAAGGAAAAUAAAAAAUAAAGAAGAAAAAAAGCAGGAAAAGUCGUGCAAGGGACGAGGAUAAUUUUUCUUUUUCUCUUCUUUGUUUUUUUUUUUUUUUUUUUUUUUUUUUAAGGAACGUAGCGGGUAUCGUUCGCCAGGACAAAUUCCAGUUUUUCUUCGAAGAGGAAGAAGAUAAACCGAUAUAAGAAGCGAUCGUUCUCCAAGGGAUCUCGGUGAUUAUCGAAAACGAGGUGGGCUCGAUCGAGGAAGGGCCUCGCCCUCUUCCUCCCUAAGAAACGAGGAGGGCGUGUCUGCCAUUCACCUUCUCUCUCUUCCUCUCUUCCUUAUCCCUUUCGUCUUACCAGUUCCCGCGGAUCGAUCGACAAAUAGAUACGCUGUUCGUUUUAACGGAUUAACGGACUGCC